ACGGGAGGCAGCAGUGGGGAAUAUUGCGCAAUGGGGGCAACCCUGACGCAGCAACGCCGCGUGAAGGAAGAAGGUCUUCGGAUUGUAAACUUUUGUCUUGAGGGACGAAAAGGACGGUACCUCAGGAGGAAGCCACGGCUAACUACGUGCCAGCAGCCGCGGUAAUACGUAGGUGGCAAGCGUUGUCCGGAUUUACUGGGUGUAAAGGGCGUGUAGGCGGGUUGAUAAGUCAGAUGUGAAAUACCGGGGCUCAACCCCGGGGCUGCAUUUGAAACUGUCAGUCUUGAGUGUCGGAGAGGUAAGCGGAAUUCCUAGUGUAGCGGUGAAAUGCGUAGAUAUUAGGAGGAACACCGGUGGCGAAGGCGGCUUACUGGACGAUAACUGACGCUGAGGCGCGAAAGCGUGGGUAGCAAACAGGAUUAGAUACCCUGGUA
rnacentral:rRNA from 3 species